AAUCCAUGGUGAGAACAAGCUCUUAUCAUUUCCUUAUAUCGUUCCCAUGCUUCAAAGAGCAAUUCACCGUCCAUCUGCAUGAAGCAGGUAAUUUGGCUCCUUAACU